GGUCUCUCUCUCUCAGGUCUCUCUCUCUCUCUCUUUCUCUCUCUCUCUCUCCCGCAGGUCUCUCUCUCUCAGGUCUCUCUUUCAGGUCUCUGCUGUUUGGCUUCUCAAGGAAUCUCAGCUAUGCCAACUAUCUCUCCAGCCAUUGACAAAUAUCUCUCUUUGAGUACGUGCUGUGCCCCGCCAUCAUCAUCAUGAUCGUCACCAUGGCGAAGAAGGAACUUCCUCCAACAGAAGACGACGCGGCCUUAGAGACACAGAGACCGUUGCCGUGACGCCCAGAUGCUGUCCUGGUUCUAAGGUGGGGUACCUCAAACAACGCCCAGUCCACGAAGGCUCUCUCUCUCUCUCUCUCUCUCUCUCUCUCUCUCUCUCUCUCUCUCUCUCUCUCUCUCUCUCUCUCUCUCUCUCUCUCUCUCUCUCU